GGGACGACUGCGAAAAAUGCAGCACAAGGUCCUCUGAUAGGAAUCGCAGGGCCGUAGGUUCAUUUCCUACCAGAGGACCUUGUGCUGCAUUUUUUUGCAGUUGUUCC
rnacentral:miRNA from 1 species